rnacentral:rRNA from 1 species
GAUGAACGCUAGCGGCAGGCCUAAUACAUGCAAGUCGAGGGAGAAUGUUGGAUUCGUCUGACAUGAAACCGGCGCACGGGUGCGUAACACGUAUGCAACCUACCUUUAACUGGGGUAUAGCUCAGAGAAAUCUGAAUUAAUCCCCCAUAAGACUACGACAUGGCAUCAUGAUGUAGUUAAAGCUCCGGCGCUUAAGGAUGGGCAUGCGGUACAUUAGCUAGUUGGUGAGGUAAUGGCUCACCAAGGCUACGAUGUAUAGGGGGUCUGAGAGGAUGAUCCCCCACACUGGUACUGAGACACGGACCAGACUCCUACGGGAGGCAGCAGUAGGGAAUAUUGGUCAAUGGACGCAAGUCUGGACCAGCCAUGCCGCGUGAAGGAUGAAGGCCCUAUGGGUCGUAAACUUCUUUUAUUAGGGAAGAAAAAACGGGAUGCGUCCUGUACUGACGGUACUUAAUGAAUAAGGAUCGGCUAACUUCGUGCCAGCCGCCGCAGUAA